rnacentral:lncRNA from 1 species
AUGGGAAGACUCCACCUUGGCGGGAUGUGCAGGUGAAGUGCUCCAGCUCUGAGGACGAAUCCUGGAAGAGAAAACCUGAUCCCAGGGCAUGAAGAAGGAGGAAAAGGAUGCAGGAAAGAAUUUAAGAGGCAAAGUGGAUGUGAUAAAGGAACGAGAAGAUCAUGAGAAAAGAUGAAAAAGAGAACAGUGACUGACCCAUGUCAUGAAGCAUCAGUUUCUAAACUUUGCUGUAUGCAGGCUCAAUGGUUGGAAUAAAUGCAGAUGCUGCAAAUUGAUGGAGGCCUGGUGUCUUCCAGAGUGGAGGUAAAGGCUGGCUGAGGAAUCAGUGAGGCCAGGAAGAGGGCUCAGCUGAGCAACUGAUCAAAGCAUCCCUCUUCAGGAAGGAGCUUCCUGUGUUUUCUCUGGGAACUCACCUGUUUUCCACUCCAGACUCUCCAAGAUAUGCAGAGCUUUGGGCCAGGAUCCUACAGCCACGGGUCAUGCAGAGCCAGUUGGCCACAUCCUUUGGGCCAAAUUUGGUCCUAACCAGGUCUUACCACGGUAACUGCUAACCAGUCCAUCUUCAGUUAAUAUUUCAUGCGUAAGAUGUUUCAUGAAGUAACUGAAUGGGCUAAUGGGUUGUUCACUGGAUAAGACUCCCAGAUACUCCCUUUCAUGCCAUUCCCCAGAAUUCCUUCACCUCCCAGUGCUGUCUGUAAGGGUGAAGAUACUCCAUUUUGCCCCAUGCUCUUUGCUGUGCCCCAGAUAGGCUCAAACAUUUUUCCCUUUUGGGGAUUUUGCAGGUAGGAAUUGUUGAACAUCUUACCAUUUAAUCCAGAAGUUAUGUCCUUUAAGGAAUCGACCCUGAGCCUGUGAGUUUUACUUUGGGUUGGGGGUGAAGGAGUGGACCUUGCAGCAUUCAAGGUCAUCCAAGAUCAUCCAGUUAAGGCCCCUAAGGUCACUACGGGGGGAAAAGCCUGGUGAGGGAAGAGAAAGCAUUAGGGGGAGCUGCACCGUGCUGAGAAAUAACACCACACAGAAGUCUGUGUUCUAAUCUCAGCUCUGCUUUGCAUUACUGUGUGACCUGGAGCUGAUCACAGCCCUCUGAGUCUUAAAGGGGUUGGACAAGGCCAACUAAACAUUAGAAACACCUGAAAGUGCUGGUUAAAAGGAAGAAUGCAUGAGCUUCACUCCAGAUUUACUAUAUCAGAAUUUCCAGGGUCAGGGUCCAAGAAUCUGCAUGUUUAAUACGCUUUCCACAUGAUUUUUCCCCCCUCUGGACUUAAGAAAACAAUGGGCAAGUCAGCUCAUGAAGAACUUUUCAGAUAUUCAGACUAUUAUUCUGAGAGAGAAAAUAUUGGCAGAGAACAGAUGGGAUUUUUCUCAAGGAAAAGAAAUGGAAAUCCUACAUCUUGCAAGAAAUAGAAAAAAAUAAAUAAACUGUUUGAAGAAGAAUCACAUCAGGCUGGCAGGAGAGAGCCUGCGGCUCGGUGUCUGACCCAGAAUGUUAAAGCCAGCCUGGCUUGGCUCCAGGAUAAAGGACACUCUGUCAGCCUCUCCACAUUGAUUCAUCUCCCCAGCCCCAAGAUCAGGAGAGCAUUCUGUUCCUUGAAGCAUUUUAUGACUGUAAGUCAGAAGUGCUGCAGUUUUAAUAAAAAGCUGUAUUGUCCUGA